UACACAUGAUGAAUAAUUGACCAGUUCUGCUACUGAAACUCUUAUGAAGAGGAUAAAUUUACCAAAAAUUCUGAUAA
rnacentral:snoRNA from 1 species